AUUGAACGCUGGCGGCAGGCUUAACACAUGCAAGUCGAGCGGAGCGAGGGUGCUUGCACCUUAGCUUAGCGGCGGACGGAUGAGUAAUGCUUAGGAAUCUGCCUAUUAGUGGGGGACAACAUUCCGAAAGGAAUGCUAAUACCGCAUACGCCCUACGGGGGAAAGCAGGGGAUCUUCGGACCUUGCGCUAAUAGAUGAGCCUAAGUCGGAUUAGCUAGUUGGUGGGGUAAAGGCCUACCAAGGCGACGAUCUGUAGCGGGUCUGAGAGGAUGAUCCGCCACACUGGGACUGAGAAACGGCCCAGACUCCUACGGGAGGCAGCAGUGGGGAAUAUUGGACAAUGGGCGGAAGCCUGAUCCAGCCAUGCCGCGUGUGUGAAGAAGGCCUUUUGGUUGUAAAGCACUUUAAGCGAGGAGGAGGCUCUUAAGGUUAAUACCCUUGAUGAGUGGACGUUACUCGCAGAAUAAGCACCGGCUAACUCUGUGCCAGCAGCCGCCGUAA
rnacentral:rRNA from 1 species